CAUGAAACACUGCAAGAAUGAGUCAUCCAUUCCUACGUGGAAUGAAAAAAAUGUAUUUUCCAUUCCUCUCUGUCCACCUCAACUUUGACUAAAACCCUAAACUGUGUCAGUUUCCCCCCGAUCUCUCUUCCACAGAAGCUGUCCACCCAUCUCCUCCGAUUUCUCUUCUGCGCCGUACUCUCCUCCGAGUGAUCUUCCUGCGCCUCUCCUCCUUUUUCUCUACUGCGCCGACCUCUCCUCCGAGAAGCUUCGCCUCUCCUUUUUCUCUUCUGCACCGCACUCUCCUCUGAGAGAUCUUCCACACAGAAGCUUCGCCUCCUCUCCUUUUUCUCUUCUGCGCCGCCCUCUCCUCCUUUUUCUCUUCUGCGCCGCCCUCUCCUCCUUUUUCUCUUCUGCGCCGCAUUCUCCUUUGAGAGAUCUUCCACGCAGAAGCUGUGCACAAGGCAGAGAUCCACCACCAUCGAAGCUCCUCCAUCGCCGAGUGAACCCUAAAGGCGCACCACCAGCGAAGCCGCGAAGCUCCUCCACGGCCUAAGCCCUAAAGCUCUUCCACCGCCUAAGCCCUAAAGCUCCUCCACCAGCGAACCGUGCCUUUGUACGGGUUUGUUUUUUCUCACUUGACAUUAAGUUCUUCUCAAGACUGUUCUUCUUGAACAAAUGCAAUUAUAAUUCUGUUUGCCCUAUUAUAAUUCUUGUAGCAUCUCAUUGAUCAAACUUGAGACAUGUCCUAUUAUUAACCAAUUUUGUUUGGUUCCCAGAAGUGGAACCAAUUAGGAUAUUGAAAAUCAUGUUUAGGAUAUUUUAAAUUUCCAACAUUUUAUACAUUGGAGAUCUCUUAUACUAUGUGUGGCCUCCUAAGUAUUAGUAUAACUUUAACAUCAAUUACCUAAAUUAUAGUAGUUGAGCAAGGAUAUGAAAGAGUAGAUGGUUUUUGUUCUUUUGAUAUGAAAAAGAUUACAGGACAAAGGAACAAAUAUUCAUGGCAGCCGGUUCGAUAUCAUCAUCAUCUUUCACUCGAAGACGCAUGAAUGAUGAACAAGAUGAAACACCUCAUAUAUUAUGCUAUUGUGGGUUAAGAGCUACUCUUUGGACUUCAUGGAAGGAAACCAACCCAGGAAAGGGGAUGUGGCUUCUUCUUAUGGCAUGAUCCAGAAUUGUCAGAGAGAGCUAAGGGAAUUAUUAAUGAUCUAAAGAGGGAUAACAAAAAAUUACAAAUGGAGAUUAGUGAAUUGAAGAAAUCUAAUAUGUACAUCGAAAGUGCAGUUGAUUGCAAUGUUCUCCUAGAGCCUGUGAACAACUCUGUUACUAUGAAGUUGAGUGAUGAAAUAUGUUCAUUUAAUAGAAAGUUUAGAGUUGUUAUCGUUGUAUUUGUAUUUACUUGGAUUGUGAUGAUUUGGAAGUGGUUGGUGUAAUUUGCUAUAAGCAAAUAACUGUUGUAGUAAUGAAAGAUGUUUUUUGGUUUUUUAA